UGCUCCUCCUGGUGGCCUUCAUCUUCCUCUUUUUCUUCUUCUUCUGCCCCUGUUCCUCCUCUUGAUCGGACUACUGACACAAAGAACAACUGUGUGACGUCCUCCUCCUCACUGACAUCGUCGAUAUCAUCCUCCAGUGACGAGGAGCCGGACUCCUGAUACUCCACCACGUCGGAGCAAGUUGUGGAGCUAUCAUCGGAUUUUUCUUCCCGGCGCCGUUUUGCAGCGGAGGGCAUGGCAGAGGUGGAGGUCGAGGACGACGCAGCGGAGGUUGAAGGCUGCCCCUCCUCCUCUCGACCAGCCUCCACCUCCUCGCCUCCUCGCCGCCAGCCUCCUCGCCGCCAGCCUCCUCGCCGCCAG